CCUACGGGUGGCAGCAGUGGGGAAUAUUGGGCAAUGGGCGCAAGCCUGACCCAGCAACGCCGCGUGAAGGAAGAAGGCCCUCGGGUUUUAAACUUCUUUUAUUCGGGACGAAACAAAUGACGGUACUGACUGAAUACGCCACGGCUAACUACGUUCCAGCAGCCGCGCGAAUACGUAGGUGGCAAGCGUUAUCCGGAUUUACUGGGUGUAAAGGUGGUUUUGGCGGUAGGGCAAGUCAGACGUGAAAUUCCGGGGCUCAACCCUGGAACUGCGUGUGAAACUGUUAUUCUUGAGUGAAGGAGAGGAAGGCGGAAUUCGGUGGGUAGCGGUGAAAUGCGUAGAUAUACGGAGGAACACCGGUGGCGAAGGCGGCCUGCUGGACAGUAACUGACGCUGAGGCGCGAAAGCGUGGGGAGCAAACAGGAUUAGAUACCCUUGUAGUC
rnacentral:rRNA from 1 species